CUACGUGCCAGCAGCCGCGGUAAUACGGAAGGUCCAGACGUUAUCCGGAUUUAUUGGGUUUAAAGGGAGCGUAGGCGGAUUAUUAAGUCAGUGGUGAAAGACGGUGGCUCAACCAUCGUUAGCCAUUGAAACUGGUAGUCUUGAGUGCAGACAGGGAUGCUGGAACUCGUGGUGUAGCGGUGAAAUGCUUAGAUAUCACGAUGAACUCCGAUCGCGAAGGCAGGUGUCCGGGCUGCAACUGACGCUGAGGCUCGAAAGUGUGGGUAUCAAACAGGAUUAGAUACCCUGGUAGUCCACACAGUAAACGAUGUAUACUCGCGGUUUGCGAUAUAAUGUAAGCCGCCAAGCGAAAGCAUUAAGUAUACCACCUGGGGAGUACGCCGGCAACGGUGAAACUCAAAGGAAUUGACGAGGGCCCGCACAAGCGGAGGAACAUGUGGUUUAAUUCGAUGAUACGCGAGGAACCUUACCCGGGCUUGAAC
rnacentral:rRNA from 1 species